GGGACCUGGGAUACCAUGGUUUUUGGAAUCCCCACUCAGCCAUGGACCUCACUGGUUCACCUUGGGACGAUCCGCCGCCACUUAACCAGCCUCAAAGUGUCAUCGUUUCUGGGAAGAAAAUACGGGAAAGAAUUCACACACACCCAUGAGAAAAUCCAUACAGAUUAUGGCCACCUGCAGGAUAACCCACUCUCCACUCCUGCUCCUUGUUAGUUAAUCUGGGAUAAUUUGCUCAACUCACCAGUAAUGCUCUCACAACUAAUACAGAUAAUAAUCCCCGUUUCACCUGAAAGAAUCCCUGCUUCACCUGUAAGUCUUCAUUGCCUUCAUUGAAAUAGGCAUGGGAGGAAAUUGCCCCCCUUCAUUUACUCUGGUGCAGCAUACAAUUUUUCUUUUUAAAAAUGCAUUAUAAAUAAAAUUGAACCAAUGAACCACUCACUAA